UAGAUUGAAGCCCGCUGGCUUGGGUUUUUAGUUGUUAACUAAAGGUUUAUGGGAUCGAGGCCCAUCGAUCUA
rnacentral:tRNA from 1 species